rnacentral:rRNA from 1 species
UUGCACCGUGGAUUAGUGGCGAACGGGUGAGUAAUACGUGAGUAACCUGCCCCCUUCUUUGGGAUAAGCCUUGGAAACGGGGUCUAAUACCGGAUAUUCAGUUUGGGUCGCAUGGCCUGGGUUGGAAAGUUGUGUCGGUGGGGGAUGGGCUCGCGGCCUAUCAGCUUGUUGGUGGGGUGAUGGCCUACCAAGGCGUCGACGGGUAGCCGGCCUGAGAGGGUGACCGGCCACACUGGGACUGAGAUACGGCCCAGACUCCUACGGGAGGCAGCAGUGGGGGAUAUUGCACAAUGGGCGCAAGCCUGAUGCAGCGACGCCGCGUGAGGGAUGACGGCUUUCGGGUUGUAAACCUCUUUCGCUACCGAACAAGGCUUCAUUUUGUGUGGGGUUGAGGGUAGGUGGAUAAGAAGCGCCGGCUAACUACGUGCCAGCAGCCGCGGUAAUACGUAGGGCGCGAGCGUUGUCCGGAAUUAUUGGGCGUAAAGAGCUCGUAGGCGGCUUGUCGCGUCUGCUGUGAAAACGCGGGGCUUAACUCCGCGCGUG